GCGAAGGAGAGGGAAGGACCGCUUGCCUGCGCGGAGAGGCGAGCGCCGAGCGCCCGUCCCGGCGGCCCGGGAGCCACCCGGGGAAGGUGUCCUGUGACGGCCCUUGAUCAGCAAGGCUGCAAGUCAUGUAGAAGCCGCAGUAACUGCAGAGUCUCUGAUGGAUAAUUGGAUUGGGACUAAUAUGUGGGAGGCUGUGGACUAUUUGCUUCCGACAUAGGAACAGCACUGGGUUGGAAAUCUGCACUCCCGAGAGAAUGCUGGGAAUCUGCAGAGGGCGACGGAAAUUCCUGGCUGCCUCUCUGACCGUUCUUUUUGUCCCAGCCAUUACGUGGAUUUAUCUGUUUGCUGGGAGUUUUGAAGAUGGGAAGCCAGUGUCGCUGUCUCCACUUGAAUCCCAGCCCCACAGCCCUCGGUACACGGCGUCGAGCCAGCGGGAGCGCGAGAGCUUGGAAGUCCGCAUGCGUGAGGUGGAGGAGGAGAACCGCGUGCUUCGCAAGC